CGGACGGGUGAGUAAUGUCUGGGAAACUGCCUGAUGGAGGGGGAUAACUACUGGAAACGGUAGCUAAUACCGCAUAACGUCGCAAGACCAAAGAGGGGGACCUUCGGGCCUCUUGCCAUCGGAUGUGCCCAGAUGGGAUUAGCUAGUAGGUGGGGUAACGGCUCACCUAGGCGACAUCCCUAGCUGGCUGAGAGGAUGCCAGCCACACUGGAACUGAGACACGGUCCAG
rnacentral:rRNA from 1 species